rnacentral:rRNA from 1 species
CCUACGGGAGACAGCAGUGGGGAAUAUUGGGCAAUGGGCGCAAGCCUGACCCAGCAACGCCGCGUGAAGGAAGAAGGCUUUCGGGUUGUAAACUUCUUUUGACAGGGAAGAGCAGAAGACGGUACCUGUCGAAUAAGCCACGGCUAACUACGUGCCAGCAGCCGCGGUAAUACGUAGGUGGCAAGCGUUGUCCGGAUUUACUGGGGGUAAAGGGCGUGUAGCCGGGCUGACAAGUCAGAUGUGAAAUCCGGGGGCUCAACCCCCGAACUGCAUUUGAAACUGUUGGUCUUGAGUAUCGGAGAGGCAGGCGGAAUUCCUAGUGUAGCGGUGAAAUGCGUAGAUAUUAGGAGGAACACCAGUGGCGAAGGCGGCCUGCUGGACGACAACUGACGGUGAGGCGCGAAAGCGUGGGGAGCAAACAGGAUUAGAUACCCUAGUAGUC